GCCCCAAAGUUAGCUCAGGUGGUUAGAGGGUGGUGCUGAUAAUGCCAAGGUCCAGGGUUCAGUUCCUAUGUGGGCCA